rnacentral:RNase_P_RNA from 1 species
CGGUUCCGUCGGACGAUCGCGUCGCGGGGAUGUCGCCUGCGCCGAGGAAAGUCCGGGCUCCUUGGACACGCUGCCAGGUAACGCCUGGGCACGCCGCAGGGCGUGACGGAUAGUGCAACAGAGAGCAGACCGCCGAUGUCUUCGGGCAUCGGUAAGGGUGAAAGGGUGGGGUAAGAGCCCACCGCGAUCGUGGUAACACGGUCGGCAUGGCAAACCCCAGCGGGAGCAAGGCCGAAUAGGCGGCGAGCAGCAGUCCUCUGCGAUCAAGACGCCGCGGGUUGGCCGCUAGAGCAGUCGGGCGACCGGCUGCCGAGAGAAAUGAUCGUCCGGUGCUUUCGGGCACCGACAGAACCCGGCUUAUAGACGGAACCGACGG